rnacentral:lncRNA from 1 species
CUUUGUAAAGUAUCUUGUAACCCAGGAUGAGACCAUUUUGCUCUGACUCGGGGACUGCAGACCAGGUCAGAAGGAUCUGGGUUGAGCUCACGGCUUCAGCAGACACGUUCUCAGGAGGAGCAGAGGGAACAGACUCCCGCGUACGACCUCGCACCACUUCGCUCCACGGUCCUGCCCCGAUGGCGUUGAAGGCCUGGAUCUGCAGCUCGUACUCCGUCCACUCCUCCAGGUCCUCGAUGGUGCACUCCCUUUCCAGCCGGUCGCUGAUGACCUUCAGCAGGGCGGAAGGCUGCAGAUCCACGCGCCAGAACUUGAUGCGGUACCCCACGGACUCUGGGUUGCCAUUGUACUGCGUGUCGGGCAGGGGCACCCAGCGCAUCCGCAGGCUGCUCUCGCUGGCCGUGCGCACGCUUACGCUGCCGGGGGCCACGUCUGGAGGGGCUUGCAGGGUCUGGAUGACACGUGAGGGCUGGCUCAGAGGGCUGGCACCCACCACGUUCACCUGCCGCAUCCGGA